GCUUCAACCUCACCUCUCGCGAGGGGUGCGUCCCACUGUCUCUGAUUAGCCCCGAGGUCAGAGGUAUCACGAGUCUCUGUGAGAGCCAACGUGACAGAUUUUUAGCAAUGAAAACAGACACACUCGUCAAAUCAUCUCAAUUGCCAACGCAGAAGCAUUAUAUAUACACAACAAGAAAACCACCAUCUACAAACCAUGAAGCCGAGUCUCGCUAGACACCAGAUCUGACAACACCUUGAUCUUAAGACCUCCCAGCCUCUCGAACUGUGAGAAAUAAAUGUUUAUUGUUUA